UUCUUUUUCUUGGUAAAAGGGAGAAAUAUAUUACUGAUAACUAGUUAAAUCUAGUACAUACUGGAGAGUUUAUGCUUUCUAGAGCAUAGUAGUAUGUCAUGCGGGACAAAAUAUUACAAGUAAAUGCAGAAAUAUUUCUAGCAGAAGUUGCUCCUUUCCUAUCUGCUUCUAAACUAUUUAGUACAAAAUGAGGUGGAGCUGGUAGGUGCACGAAAACUAAAUGAUUUACCCCCUUAAUUCCUUCCUUAGCCAGUAUGUCUGCUACUGCAUUUUGUUCUAGAAAGCUAUGCUCGAUUUCCCCCUCCCCAGCUGGCUCAUCAGCAACCUACCGUCAAGCAUUACUAUAUUUUGAACUUUCAGCUUGUGUAUGAUUUGAUUCGGGUAGACUACUGUAAUAGCCUAACAACCAGGCUCCUCUGUUAUUCCUGAUUACUCCGCCAAUGCCUCCUUUGUUUAGAUGUCCCUUCGCUACUCCAUCUACAUUAAGUUAAAAAUAUCCAGCUAGCGGACAAAAGCAGUUCCAUUCACAAGAUUAAGAUGGAUUGUCUCUCCUUGUUUUAUUUUUGGUGUAAACAGGAAUUUUUGGAUGAUGUAGGAGACCUGAUAGAUUUAAUAGGUAGCUUGUAAAUAACUGUUACAUCAAGUGUUCUUCUUUUGCUCGUUUUGAGUUGUACAUACAGUUAUCAGCACUGAACUGGUGCUGAUUUUAUUAUCAAUCCAAAUUGCUACCUUUCUCAAAAGAAAACAAAAACCCAGCUAGUGGUGGAUGCUAUCUUACCUAAAAGAUACCAUAGGAGAAGGGAAACAAUUCCUUCCAAGUGUAGAAGUUGCGUUGGUCGGUUGGUAAUUAAUAUCCUUGAUGACAUUUAACCAGUGAUUCUGGGAAUUUUCUAUUUUGGGGAAAUGUCAGGCAUGACUGCUGGGCAAUAUGGCAGGUAAGAGAAAAUAUGGAUAGUAUUUUCCAGGUCCAUGUGACAUACUGGGCAUUGGUUAUUUAUAUGAUAACAAACCCAUAGGAAAAAUUUAAUAUUAUUUUGAGUAUCUUGUUUCCAAAUCCAUGAAAUCCUUGCAAGAAGAGACUGUUGGUUCUAUCAUGGUUCUGGCAGACGUAGUAGUGAAUCUUGUUUUUCCGGAUAAAGGGAGGACAAAUGUUGUAUAUAGCCUGUAGAAGUUCAUGAGGUAGCUCAAAGGAGAGACUGAGAGCAACCAUUUUCCAUUAUCUAUCAUGCUACUGACCAUUAGGUUAUGAUCUUGGAUAUUUAAGGGGCCAUAGAUAUAAUAUUUGGAUGUUAUUCCAAAUAGCCGAGGUACGGUGCUGGUUUGCAAUCUACUAAAUGUAGUUUCAAUGGGGUUGCAGUACUUACCAAUGAGGACUUGUGACCAUAAAUUCUGUGGCAUGUUAAAGAGCCUCCAGAAGAAACUUGUUUCCUUAAUCAGUUUCUUCCUAUGAGACAUAGCACUCUGUGGAGGUAAAAUGACACGUUUGUGUUUGAUUCUGUACAUAAAUUUGAUCUUAAAAAUCUUGUAUUUUUGUUUUUCUACUUUCUUUUCUUUUCUACUUUUACCUUGUUAAGGUUAUCAUUUGUAAGUGAAAUAGAGGUAAGUGUACAAAAUUGUAACCUUAACAAGGUUAUUACCUCUCUAUUUCUUGUUUGGGUUGUAUUAACUCAGAAUUCAGCAACAUGUUGAAUUUUGAUUUGAAAUUUCUGUUUGCUGAAUUUGGCAUGUAUUUCAUCUUCA